UUACGGCCGCAUCACGUCGAAAGAUCGGUUCCUGUACAAUCACCGAAGUUAAACAACGUCGAUCCUGGUAAGUACCUUGAUGGGUUACCGCUUGGGAAUACCAGGUACUGUAAG